UACAGAGGUCUCAAGCGUUGUUCGGAUUCAUUGGGCGUAAAGGGUGCGUAGGCGGCGCGGUAAGUCGGGUGUGAAAUCUCGGAGCUUAACUCCGAAACUGCAUUCGAUACUGCCGUGCUUGAGGACUGGAGAGGAGACUGGAAUUUACGGUGUAGCGGUGAAAUGCGUAGAUAAUCGGGAGGAACACCAGUGGCGAAGGCGGUUGCCUGGAGCUUGCUGACGCUGAGGCGCGAAAGCGUGGGGAGCGAUCGG
rnacentral:rRNA from 1 species